GGGCAACCGCAUGCCGAAGCCUGACGGAGCCCGCCGCGGGCAGGAGGAAGGCCUUCGGGUUGUAAACUGCUUUUAUCUGCGACGAUUAUGACGGUAGCAAAAGAAUAAGGAUCGGCUAAUUCCGUGCCAGCAGCCGCGGUCAUACGGAAGAUCCGAGCGUUAUCCGGAAUUACUGGGCGUAAAGAGUUGCGUAGGUGGCAGGUAAAGCGAACAGUGAAAGGUCCCGGCUCAACCGGGGAUACAUUGUUCGAACUCACCAGCUAGAGCACAGCAAAGGUACCUGGAAUUCCCAGUGUAGGAGUGAAAUCCGUAAAUAUUGGGAGGAACACCGAUGGCGUAGGCAGGGUACUGGGUUGUCGCUGACACUAAGGCACGAAAGCGUGGGGAGCGAACGGGAUUAAAUACCCCGGUAGUCCACGCCGUAAACUAUGGAUGCUAGCUGUUAUCGGUAUCGACCCCGGUAGUAGCGAAGCUAACGCGUUAAGCAUCCCGCCUGUGAAGUACAAGCGCAAGCUUAAAACAUAAAGGAAUUGACGGGAACCCGCACAAGCGGUGGAGCGUGUUGUUUAAUUCGACGGUAAACGAAAAACCUUACCCAGGCUUGACAUCCUGCCAAGGUUUCCAAAAGGAAACUGUGCCUUCGGGCCGCAGUGACAGGUGCUGCAUGGCCGUCGUCAGCUCGUGUCGUGAGAUGUUUGGUUAAGUCCAUCAACGAGCGCAACCCUUAUGGUCAGUUGGAUUUCUCUGGCCAGACUGCCCCGGUAACGAGGAGGAAGGAGGGGAUGAUGUCAGGUCAUUAUUGCCCUUGCGCCUGGGGCUACAAACACGCUACAGUGCCCGGUACAAAGGGCAGCUAAGUCGCGGAGACGGAGCAUAUCCCAUCAAAGCCGGUCUCAGUUCGGGAUUGUAGGCUGAAACUCCGCCUGCAUGAAGCUGGGAAUCGCUAGUAGCGGUAGUCAGCUAUACUACCGUGAAUACGUUCCGGAUCUUGUACACACGAAUCUCUAGAGAUCCCGGGUACGAGCUCGAUCGUAUCAUGCUCAUAGCUGUUCUGUGUGAAUUGUAUCGUCCACAUCCAACCAACCUACGAGCCGAGCAUAAGGUAAGGCCUGGAGCUAUGAUGACUAAUCAAUAUGCGUUGCUCAUGCCGAUUCUGACGGAAUCUGUC
rnacentral:rRNA from 1 species